rnacentral:rRNA from 29 species
GACAAUGGAUAUCUCGGCUCUUGCAUCGAUGAAGAGCGCAGCGAAAUGCGAUACGUGGUGCGAAUUGCAGAAUCCCGCGAAC